rnacentral:lncRNA from 1 species
AGGAAACAGUAGAAGAAGAAACAUGAUCCUUAUCUCCCAUUUUACUUUCUACAGGUAUCUUGUUGCCUAGCGAAGCUCUUGCAUUUUUAAAGAUAAAUAUUUAUAUACGUAGCGUAGGAGGCUGACAGAAAAUACCAGGCUUUAAUUCGCACCUCUGUGGAAAACACCGGCCCUGAGAAACAGACCAAGACAAUGGAUGAAGCCUGCAUCCAAGCACAGGGGGCAGGACAAACUCCAGCAACUUCUUGAUGAGUUUAUGAGGAAGCCUUGAGCACGCACCUGCGUUAUGGAUGACAUUCAAGAGCAGAGAGCCUGUGCAUCCCUGAAAUGGUCCCGUGACAAGGAGCUAGCAUAGAG